UACAGAGGUCUCAAGCGUUGUUCGGAUUCAUUGGGCGUAAAGGGUGCGUAGGUGGCGCCGUAAGUCAGGUGUGAAAUUUCGGAGCUUAACUCCGAAACUGCAUUUGAUACUGCGGUGCUUGAGGACUGGAGAGGAGACUGGAAUUCACGGUGUAGCAGUGAAAUGCGUAGAUAUCGUGAGGAAGACCAGUGGCGAAGGCGGGUCUCUGGACAGUUCCUGACACUGUGGCACGAAGGCCAGGGGAGCAAACGGG
rnacentral:rRNA from 1 species